ensembl:snoRNA
AGGCAUAUCCGUAGACCUUGCCUGACUGCUUAUAGUCAGGUGGGGGGGACAGUAUAUGCAAGAACAAUUGGAGUUUAUGUAAGCUCUAACCAGCUUAAUCGGUGACUGGAUAAGCUGCAGCACUCCGACAUUC